CUUCAGCUAAAAUAAGAAUAUAAAUGUCAUCAUCUGCAUUUUCCCCCUCAAUUCAAUAUCCAGAGGGAAUAGGAUUUUCAAAUUAAAAUAAUCAUCAGGUGCCCCAGAAGUGCCGUCACAGCCAGUCCUACAAAGUGUGGCACGGCAUGGGAAGAUAAUAAGAAAUGUCAGUUAGCUGGAGAGAAUGUCUAACAAGGCAAAGCAAAUUUAGAGAAAAUUCUACAUGGACAAUAGUAUUCUCAGAGAGUGAAGAGAACUUCUUCCAAUAUGAAGAAGGGAUCAGGCAGAGGAGUUUGUGAGACUUCCAGACAUGAAGAGCUGUCUGAAGAUGACAAUUACAUGGAACCCUUUAUAGGGAAGAAAAUGGGAAGCAAAGCGGGACUCGUGAGAAAUGAUCAGAAAAGAUAACAAGAAUCAUUAAGUUGACUGACGGGGAGGGAGGCAAAAUGGUAAAGACGGAGAAGUGUGAAGGCAGAGGGGAGAAGCGGAAGGGAAAGCAAGGGUCUGGAGGGAAUGUGGGCUCCCCAGGGCCAGGUCAGAGUUAAUGAUGGGACAGGGGAGCAGCCUGAGGCUGUCACUACUUAUCAGAUGGAAGUCUGUAACCUUCUGAGCUGAGUUCCCAUAGAGGAACUCUCUCUCCUCUGAGCCAGACUCAGAAGUGGCCAUUCUGGGAAAUCGGCAAAGGACAGCCUCUUGGGGGUCUUCACUGUGGUAAGGACUGGGGUCCAGUUGUGAAGGGUGGUGGCUUCCACACUGUAGACCAGUGGUGCCAAGACAAGGACCAUCCUUGCCUCUCUCCUGGGCUGUGGGGGUCGGCAGCAGUCCAGAGGGUUCUCUGGCUGGGAGGUCCCUUGUUCUGAUCUCUGCCUUCACAUUAUAAGGACACCAGUCACCAGCCCUGGGGCCCUCCCAGAUCCUGUACAACCUCAUCUUCACUUGCUUAUACCCACAGAGUGUCUUUCAAAAUCAGACCACACUCAUAGGUACCUACAGUUAGGGAUGCAGUAGAUCUUUCAGGGGGACACAAUUCAACCCACACCAUCAGUUACAUUGAAAAUCCUGUAAGUUUUACUUCCUAUACAAUUCUUUUCAUAAGAGUAAAUUAAGAACAGAAGACUCUGGCUUCAACAGGAUCAGGAACCAGUUAGAAUCCACAGUAAGGGACCAAGUGAGGAGAGGACUCCACAGGCACAUGUUUUGAGAAAACUGAGGUAGCAACACAGGACUUAAAUUUUAACUAAAUGACUAGGAAAAUGAUUGAACCACCGUGAGAUCAAGGAAAAAAAGGGUCAUCUGUGGUAAUGUGAAGUUUUGCUAAGGACAGAAUUCCCAUUACCAUUGUAACUGUGAGGUCUGUGCAGGAACACCAAGAAUAUAAAGGAGUGUGAGGAGGAACCUCCCAAAAUAAAGCAUCAGGCCCUGAGCCUCAAAGGAGUGGAGGCACGGUCUGCGACCAAGCAUCUCCCUGCCCGCCCGCCCUCCCUCCAGACGUGGACGUGCCUCCUCCACACGGUACAGAAUGAGGCAACAGCCGGUCAUUGAGACGAGCCCCUGCGCGAGGCACGCGUGGUCUGCUCUCGUCACAAGGGGAACGCAGGGGGCUGGUGCCACCCCAGAAGCUCCCACAGGUGAGGACUGCUACCCACGCGCCCGUGAGCUGGGAGGAGACAGGAGUCCCGCGUGAGACCUGACAGCCUUGACGAGUGCCUUUUGUGGGGGGCCCGGCCUGCACACCUUCUGCUGUACAUUGAACAUCCCCCAUCGCUGUGUCCACUUUGCCAGGGAGCCUACCAUUCUAAAACUUCAGGGUCUGCCGUCCACACAACUGAGUACUCAUGAGCUGGUCGAGUGCUUUACGGUGAUGCACUUGUACAUAGCAGAGGAGGGAGAAGCUAGUGCUAAAGGAGAAAUUAAGCUGAGAACAGAUACAAGGCCAGGGGGAAACGGGAAAGUAGAAAAGAGGAAGAGUUGUGGUGACAGGGAAAUAACGACCCCCCCCCCCCCCACCCAGACACAAAUACAAGUGACAUUAGACGUGAGGUAAAAAUGUUGGGAAUGUGCCACAUAGGAGCUGAUUCCAGAACGACCGACAAUAAGUGGGGCACCUGGGAGGGGGGCGCUCAGCCAGUUAAGCAUCUGACUCUUGAUCUUGGUGCGGGUCAUAGGAUCCAGCCCCAGGUCGGGCUCUGUGCUGGGCCUGGAGCCUGCUUGAAAUCGUCCCUCUCCCCGACUCUUACACGCUCUCUCACAUAAAAGUGAGCUACACUACCCAUGAAACUAAUGUAACAUUGCAUGUUAACUACGCUGGAGGUAAAAUUAAAAUAAAAAAUUUCAAAGGCAUGUAAAGUCAGGGGCACCUGGCUGGCUCAGUUGAUAGAGUAUGUGACUCUUAAUCUCAAGGUCAUGAGUUCAGAGCCUACUUAAAAUAAAAAUUCUAAAAUAAAGGCACAUAAAGCCAAACAGACCUUUGUUGAUUGACUGCUUAAUCAAUGACCCAUUAAUUAACUUGCCCAGGUCACACCGUUGGCAGACAGCAGAGCUGGAAUUCAGACCUCCACAUAUCCUUCUUCUUGUCUUUCUGGAAUGUUUUCCUCCUGUCCUGGAGCCUGGGGACAGAAUGCUUCUCUCAUCUGAAGGAUGCCAGGAAUGAAAGUAGGUUGUGGGCUGCAAGUGGCUCUCCCAGACCCUCAGUUCACAUCACUUUUAGGCCAUCGUGCUGUCUGGUCUUGACCCUGAUGGACAAUCCUAAGGCCUUGGCUGCUGGGGCAACCACACCACUGAGGCAGGCACAACUCCAGCCUGCUCAGUUGAGAGAGAGAAGGAUUCCAGUUUGGAGGCUAAGGCCUAAACCACUGCCCUUUAAUGAAGGCAGGGAUCACACCAUUCAAAUGCCGAUAUAUUGUACCACAAUGUGAAAACCUUGACCACUAUCUCCUCCUAACUGCUCUGCUGCCUCAGCAUCUAAGUUCAAGAUAACAGAAAAUUGGAUUCCUUGGGUAAUGCAAGAGGCAAUUUUGCAAAUCACCCUGAGCUAAGAGGCACCAGAAUACUACAAAAUCAGUUACUGCCUAAUGAGAUUCUGUGGUCAAGUUCUGUAUUUAAGGUUCACACCUGAAUACUGACAGUAAGAAGAGGUGUGUCUAAAAAUUCUCAGAGGAGGCACAGUUCCCUCUUUCAACCAUCUGACCAUCGUUUGGGUGCAUGGGAGGGAAGGAAGGGUGGAAUUUUCUGGUAAAGACAGCGAAGAACUAUGUGAGUAUGGGGGCUAUGUCAUCUGAUAAUGAGGCCAUAGAAUUGGCAGGCAGAGAACAGGACACAGGCAAAGAACUGAAGGCCACGAACCAGUCCUAUGUGGCCCCCAAAGGAAUGAAGAGACGAACUCAGCAGGAGCCAGAACACUCAUCAGCAUCAGCUAUUAACUGAGCUUCGACUAUACGCACAGCAGUGGGCCUGGAGCAAAGGAGGUACAAGCUAAGGAGUUUGCUCUCGGUGGGUUGGGUUUACAGACCAGAGGAAGAGAAUGCAGACAAACUGGGUUUGCUGGCAAAAGAAUGGGGUUAGACUGCUGGGAAGAUGGCACUCACCUCGUUUCUCAGACACAACUACCUAACACUCACCGUGAUGUAAAUGCCCCAGAAAGCAACCCGAAGGCUGGCAGAACAGAGCCACGACUCAGUGUAAAGAAGAGGACACAUCAAAGAAGGUAGAAAGGGCGAAGAUACAGUGAGGAGUUAAUACCCACAGGACUCUCCCCGGGGUGGGGGCAUCUGCAGGCACAGGGAGGGUAGACAGACAAUCACAGGGUUGCCCAUGUGGGAAGAUGAAGCCUCAUAACAUUUGGCUUUGAAAACCAGAGGGGCAGAAUUUCAAGAUUCUUACAACCAGCAGAACUUAAAAUCUGGAAUUUUAAAAAUCACCGGGCUUGGGGCACUUAAGUGGCUCAAUCGGUUGGUUCAUCAUCCAACUUCAGCUUGGGUCAUGAUCUCAUGGUUUGUGGGUUCAAGUCCUGCGUCAAGCUCUCUGCUGUCAGUGCUGAGCCGGUUUCUGAUCCUCUGUCUCCAUCUCUCUCUCUCUGCUCCUGCCCCACUCGUAUCCCUGCCUUCUCUCUUUCAGAAAUAAACAUUUAAGAAAAAAAUCACCAGACUCCGCUCUGGGACAGAAUGGAGGCCAAGAGAAAACUAAGUCCCUGCCCUUAAAGAGACGACACAACAGCCCAUGGAGAUUCAGCAUAGAAACGAAUAUUCCACCUUAAAUGCAGGGGAGGUAGACUGUUUACAAAGUCUCCUGUCCUCUAAAACUUCGUACGAUGAGAUUCCGUCACUUCUGUCAUCAACAGGUGGAGUCUACUUGUCCUUCCCUUGAAUCUAUGCUGGCCUGUGACUUGCUCUGGCCAAGAGAAUACGGGAAUAAUCGUUCUGCAAGAGGAAGUGCUUACAGCUCUUGGCACACGGCCACGAGACUGCCAUGCAUAGGGCAUGUGGAUUGGAACCCAGGUGCCCCCAACUAAAGCCCAGCGGGGCCUUGUUCCCAGCUGAUUCACCACCUGAGUGCAACCACAGUUCUAUUCCAGGAACACUCAAAUCUCUGGCUGACUCCACCUGCCUUUUACAUUCCAGACUCACGUCUUGAAAUGACAGUAGGAUGCCUCCAGCUUCCAGCCUCUCCUGGGUCGUAAUUCCAGCACAUCCCAAACUGAAAUCAAAGUGUCCUCAGAGCUGAACUCACUGUUUCCCCCAUAUUUCCAUUGGCAUCACCACCAUCCUCCAUGCAUUCUGGCUUAAAACCAGCCCCUGUACAAUAUUAUUCUGAGUCCAGUCAAUUCUUCCUCCAAAACGCCUCUAACAGCCAUUACUUCCCUUUUAUUCCCCUAUUACCAUUUACAUGGCAAUAAAAUUUGCAAUACAGUAA